rnacentral:rRNA from 1 species
UUUAUGGAGAGUUUGAUCCUGGCUCAGGAUGAACGCUGGCGGCGUGCCUAAUACAUGCAAGUCGAGCGAACGGAUGAGAAGCUUGCUUCUCUGAUGUUAGCGGCGGACGGGUGAGUAACACGUGGAUAACCUACCUAUAAGACUGGGAUAACUUCGGGAAACCGGAGCUAAUACCGGAUAAUAUUUUGAACCGCAUGGUUCAAAAGUGAAAGACGGUCUUGCUGUCACU